ACAACAGGGAUUAUAGGGAUAGUUGAUGGAACACAAUGUAAGAAAACAUUCACCUGGGGGUAUUGAUGGAGAGGUAUUUAGAAAUAGAAAAGCAUUAUUUUCCCCAACAUUUAAAUUACUGGAAAUGCUAGUCUUAAAACUAUAGACUUGAUUGCUUGUUGGCAUGGGUCUGUGCAUGAAGCCACCAUUUUUGGACAUUAAGGACCCGCUUGGAGACUGGUGACUUUUCAAAUUAAAUCCUGCUUGGUUAGUGGUGAGAUUGCAUAUGCAUUGAGGGGAUAUAUGCAGAAAUACAGCUGAAGAAAUGUUUCAGAAUUAUCGUUAUAUGGAAACGCCACUUUCCAAUAUGUGUUUUAUGGUAUAAGCACAGGUAUAAGACCAAAAUUACAAAAUACAAUGUCAGUUCUUGUUGCACAACAAUUUUGUUGUUUCAAUGUGCUACACAAUACAGCCAGAAUGAUGCCUGAACAAGAGCUGCCGCCGUUAGAUGAAAUAAAUAUGGACCAAAUUAAUAAGAAGAGAAAUAAUAAAUUAUUUUGAAAGAUUAGGGCAAUAUUUUUUUUUAACUUAUUCUAAAUAUGUUUUUAUGUUGUAUUAAAUCUCUUGAGUAUUAAUUUCUAUAAAAUAUCAUUAUUAAAUGUCUUUUAUUCAGAAAUAACAUACAUUACAUUUUUUACAUUACAAUAUAAACACUAAUUAAAAUUAUUAAAUAAGUUCUCUUUGAGAAUUUUACUGUU